rnacentral:rRNA from 1 species
UUAAUGUUUGAUGUUCUAACGUGGGCCCCUAAUCGGGGUUGCGGACAGUGUCUGGUGGGUAGUUUGACUGGGGCGGUCUCCUCCUAAAGAGUAACGGAGGAGCACGAAGGUUGGCUAAUCCUGGUCGGACAUCAGGAGGUUAGUGCAAUGGCAUAAGCCAGCUUGACUGCGAGCGUGACGGCGCGAGCAGGUGCGAAAGCAGGUCAUAGUGAUCCGGUGGUUCUGAAUGGAAGGGCCAUCGCUCAACGGAUAAAAGGUACUCCGGGGAUAACAGGCUGAUACCGCCCAAGAGUUCAUAUCGACGGCGGUGUUUGGCACCUCGAUGUCGGCUCAUCACAUCCUGGGGCUGAAGUAGGUCCCAAGGGUAUGGCUGUUCGCCAUUUAAAGUGGUACGCGAGCUGGGUUUAGAACGUCGUGAGACAGUUC